AGAUAACCCCCAGAUGGACCGACCUAUUGUACAAGAAUUUUUUGACUUGUGCAUGCGAAUAUGGGGUAAUCAGGAUUGUAGACACGUAAUUUUGUCCCUCCCCGAUAUCACUUUUACUCAUUUUACUUUAUCCUAUCGUGUACCCUCGACCAUGUAAUUAUCCCUCCAUCAAAUGACAAAAAAUAACAACCCCUAACUAAUUUUAUUCUUAUCCUAACAACCUAACCCAUACACCACGUCCCCAACCCGUCAUGUUCCUUUUCAUUUCAUUGAACCAAAUCACAAAAAAUUUGUCAUCUAGUGGGACCACCAAAAGAUUCCCUUUCUUUUAUCUUUUCCCAAUUUCACAAAGGUAUUAACCAUAUAUAUAUACACUACACGCUACAUUCAGAAAGGGGGGACCCAUAUACUCCCAUUUUGGAAUUGUUCCUUUACAGGAUAUCAUAUAUACAAACAAUACAGACCAGAAAAGGUGGGGAUCAUCAAGACAGAGAAAGACCUCUUGCCAUUUUUUGAACACUCCAUUUUUGGUUCUUUUCUUCAUCUGGGAAAAUUCCACGAUACACACAGAGACACAAUCGUCUUCUGAACAAUUCACGUGCGGAAUCGAGGAGAGAGGGAACCAAGAGAGAAAAGGGGUAGAUGGAGUUAAGGGAGAAAAGACAACUCAGUGUUCUGGUUACUGUUUCGCCGACGGUUUUGCCCGAAAUGUGUCGGAACCUACCAAAUCUGAUCGAAAUUACCAGAAAAAAAGGCUAUUGGUUGACAUCUGAACUUCUAAUCCACUAAUACCCCAAGAUCAGCGUCAGAUAAGUCCGUUAAUCACCCUUUUCUGACGAAUCUUUGCCGGAAAGAACAUUUUUCUCGGUUGUCUAUUGUUCUGUUUCAGCAAACUAUUGUUGAACAGGCAAAAUUCCUAAGACCAGUCUCAUUUCCUUUCUCGGGUAUUCGCGGGGACUGUCUCGGGGUUGUUCGGUCUUCUUUUUGGGUUUUGAUCAAGUUGGAGUUGGUUCGAUUUGAAGUUUCGAAUCAAGGUUUUGGAUGCGGAUUCUACCGGAUUUAAUCAAAUAAUACAUCGAGUUUGAAAGCGACAUUUUGAGGGGAAUGCCCUGAGGUAUUUGUGUUUAUUCUGGGGAAUUCCCCAUGGUAUUUUGUACUCGGAGGAUGCCUGUGACGAAGGCCAAGGCGGCAGGUGGAGAAAGCAAUGGAGCACAGUUUAGGAUUAGCGUAGAAUAGAGUAGGUUUAUAUUUCUGAAUUUUCUUUUAUUUUGGGACUAUAUAAUUGGACUGGACUUUAUAUUUUUUGGGAUUCAUUUUGUUUGACAUGUUUGAUUUAUUGU